UACGUACUGUGCGAACGUUAUUCGGAAUCACUGGGCUUAAAGGGUGCGUAGGCGGUCGCUUAAGUAGGGUGUGAAAUCCCCCGGCUCAACCGGGGAACUGCGCUCUAAACUGGGUGGCUGGAGUGAGAUAGGGGUGUGCGGAACUUCCGGUGGAGCGGUGAAAUGUGUUGAUAUCGGAAGGAACGCCAGUAGCGAAAGCGGCACACUGGGUCUUAACUGACGCGGAGGCACGAAAGCUAGGGUAGCGAACGGG
rnacentral:rRNA from 1 species